rnacentral:rRNA from 1 species
AUUGAACGCUGGCGGCAUGCCUAACACAUGCAAGUCGAACGGCAGCACAGUAAAGACUUCGGUCUUUAUGGGUGGCGAGUGGCGGACGGGUGAGUAACGCGUAGGAAUCUGUCCUGGAGAGUGGGAUAACCCGAGGAAACUCGGGCUAAUACCGCAUAAUAUCGAGAGAUCAAAGGCAGGGGACCCUUCGGGGCCUUGCGCUCUAGGUUGAGCCUACGUCGGAUUAGCUAGUGGGGGGGGUAAAGGCCUACCAAGGCGACGAUCCGUAGCUGGUCUGAGAGGAUGACCAGCCACACUGGGACUGAGACACGGCCCAGACUCCUACGGGAGGCAGCAGUGGGGAAUCUUGGACAAUGGGGGAAACCCUGAUCCAGCGAUGCCGCGUGUGUGAAGAAGGCCUUCGGGUUGUAAAGCACUUUAGGUGGGGAAGAAAGGUAAUGAGUGAAUAACUGAUUGCUUUGACGGUACCCGCAGAAUAAGCACCGGCUAACUCUGUGCCAGCAGCCGCGGUAA